rnacentral:misc_RNA from 1 species
GUUUUAUUUGGAGCAUGCCAAAGAAAGAGGCUGGAUGUUACCAUCCUUUGGGUUACCUGAUGCAUCUUAAUGAGAAGAAUCAGAUGCAUUAGCUUGUUGCAUCUCUGCAUGUUCGUUGUUUCCUUCUCCUGGUCCGUUUUAUUUGGGAGUGGUAGAUGGACACGGACUACCCAGUCAUCCCUAGUUCUUCUUUCUUUUUGAGUUUCUUGUAUGAUGGAUAUUUCUUGAUGUAAAAAUGAGAAGUCUUGCGUUGGUGGUAUAUGCAUAACGCAUUACCAUUGCUACCUUCCAUAUGGAUGUUAG